rnacentral:snRNA from 1 species
GUGCUUGCCUGGGCAGCACAUAUACUAAAAUUGGAAUGAUACAGAGAAGAUUAGCAUGGCCCCUGUGCAGAAGCCAGAUUUUCCCAACUUUC